UAGGGAAUCUUCGGCAAUGGGGGGAACCCUGACCGAGCAACGCCGCGUGAGUGAAGAAGGUUUUCGGAUCGUAAAGCUCUGUUGUUAAGGAAGAACGAGUGUGAGAAUGGAAAGUUCAUGCUGUGACGGUACUUAACCAGAAAGGGACGGCUAACUACGUGCCAGCAGCCGCGGUAAUACGUAGGUGGCAAGCGUUGUCCGGAUUUAUUGGGCGUAAAGCGAGCGCAGGCGGUCAAUUAAGUCUGAUGUGAAAGCCCCCGGCUCAACCGGGGAGGGUGAUUGGAAACUGGUUGACUUGAGUGCAGAAGAGGAGAGUGGAAUUCCAUGUGUAGCGGUGAAAUGCGUAGAUAUAUGGAGGAACACCAGUGGCGAAGGCGACUCUCUGGUCUGUAACUGACGCUGAGGCUCGAAAGCGUGGGUAGCAAACAGG
rnacentral:rRNA from 1 species